AUUCUGUAGCAAGGUUAACCGAAUAGGGGAGCCGAAGGGAAACCGAGUCUUAACUGGGCGUUAAGUUGCAGGGUAUAGACCCGAAACCCGGUGAUCUAGCCAUGGGCAGGUUGAAGGUUGGGUAACACUAACUGGAGGACCGAACCGACUAAUGUUGAAAAAUUAGCGGAUGACUUGUGGCUGGGGGUGAAAGGCCAAUCAAACCGGGAGAUAGCUGGUUCUCCCCGAAAGCUAUUUAGGUAGCGCCUCGUGAAUUCAUCUCCGGGGGUAGAGCACUGUUUCGGCAAGGGGGUCAUCCCGACUUACCAACCCGAUGCAAACUGCGAAUACCGGAGAAUGUUAUCACGGGAGACACACGGCGGGUGCUAACGUCCGUCGUGAAGAGGGAAACAACCCAGACCGCCAGCUAAGGUCCCAAAGUCAUGGUUAAGUGGGAAACGAUGUGGGAAGGCCCAGACAGCCAGGAUGUUGGCUUAGAAGCAGCCAUCAUUUAAAGAAAGCGUAAUAGCUCACUGGUCGAGUCGGCCUGCGCGGAAGAUGUAACGGGGCUAAACCAUGCACCGAAGCUGCGGCAGCGACACUGUGUGUUGUUGGGUAGGGGAGCGUUCUGUAAGCCUGUGAAGGUGUACUGUAAGGUAUGCUGGAGGUAUCAGAAGUGCGAAUGCUGACAUAAGUAACGAUAAAGCGGGUGAAAAGCCCGCUCGCCGGAAGACCAAGGGUUCCUGUCCAACGUUAAUCGGGGCAGGGUGAGUCGACCCCUAAGGCGAGGCCGAAAGGCGUAGUCGAUGGGAAACAGGUUAAUAUUCCUGUACUUGGUGUUACUGCGAAGGGGGGACGGAGAAGGCUAUGUUGGCCGGGCGACGGUUGUCCCGGUUUAAGCGUGUAGGCUGGUUUUCCAGGCAAAUCCGGAAAAUCAAGGCUGAGGCGUGAUGACGAGGCACUACGGUGCUGAAGCAACAAAUGCCCUGCUUCCAGGAAAAGCCUCUAAGCAUCAGGUAACAUCAAAUCGUACCCCAAACCGACACAGGUGGUCAGGUAGAGAAUACCAAGGCGCUUGAGAGAACUCGGGUGAAGGAACUAGGCAAAAUGGUGCCGUAACUUCGGGAGAAGGCACGCUGAUAUGUAGGUGAAGUCCCUCGCGGAUGGAGCUGAAAUCAGUCGAAGAUACCAGCUGGCUGCAACUGUUUAUUAAAAACACAGCACUGUGCAAACACGAAAGUGGACGUAUACGGUGUGACGCCUGCCCGGUGCCGGAAGGUUAAUUGAUGGGGUCAGCGCAAGCGAAGCUCUUGAUCGAAGCCCCGGUAAACGGCGGCCGUAACUAUAACGGUCCUAAGGUAGCGAAAUUCCUUGUCGGGUAAGUUCCGACCUGCACGAAUGGCGUAAUGAUGGCCAGGCUGUCUCCACCCGAGACUCAGUGAAAUUGAACUCGCUGUGAAGAUGCAGUGUACCCGCGGCAAGACGGAAAGACCCCGUGAACCUUUACUAUAGCUUGACACUGAACAUUGAGCCUUGAUGUGUAGGAUAGGUGGGAGGCUUUGAAGUGUGGACGCCAGUCUGCAUGGAGCCGACCUUGAAAUACCACCCUUUAAUGUUUGAUGUUCUAACGUGGACCCGUGAUCCGGGUUGCGGACAGUGUCUGGUGGGUAGUUUGACUGGGGCGGUCUCCUCCUAAAGAGUAACGGAGGAGCACGAAGGUUGGCUAAUCCUGGUCGGACAUCAGGAGGUUAGUGCAAUGGCAUAAGCCAGCUUGACUGCGAGCGUGACGGCGCGAGCAGGUGCGAAAGCAGGUCAUAGUGAUCCGGUGGUUCUGAAUGGAAGGGCCAUCGCUCAACGGAUAAAAGGUACUCCGGGGAUAACAGGCUGAUACCGCCCAAGAGUUCAUAUCGACGGCGGUGUUUGGCACCUCGAUGUCGGCUCAUCACAUCCUGGGGCUGAAGUAGGUCCCAAGGGUAUGGCUGUUCGCCAUUUAAAGUGGUACGCGAGCUGGGUUUAGAACGUCGUGAGACAGUUCGGUCCCUAUCUGCCGUGGGCGCUGGAGAACUGAGGGGGGCUGCUCCUAGUACGAGAGGACCGGAGUGGACGCAUCACUGGUGUUCGGGUUGUCAUGCCAAUGGCACUGCCCGGUAGCUAAAUGCGGAAGAGAUAAGUGCUGAAAGCAUCUAAGCACGAAACUUGCCCCGAGAUGAGUUCUCCCUGACCCUUUAAGGGUCCUGAAGGAACGUUGAAGACGACGACGUUGAUAGGCCGGGUGUGUAAGCGCAGCGAUGCGUUGAGCUAACCGGUACUAAUGAACCGUGAGGCUUAACCUUACAACGCCGAAGGUGUUU
rnacentral:rRNA from 1 species